rnacentral:rRNA from 1 species
CAGGACGAACGCUGGCGGCGUGCUUAACACAUGCAAGUCGAGCGAUGAAGCUCCUCGGGAGUGGAUAGCGGCGGACGGGUGAGUAACACGUGGGUAACCUGCCUCAUAGAGGGGAAUAGCCUUUCGAAAGGAAGAUUAAUACCGCAUAAGAUUGUAGUACCGCAUGGUACAGCAAUUAAAGGAGUAAUCCGCUAUGAGAUGGACCCGCGUCGCAUUAGCUAGUUGGUGAGGUAACGGCUCACCAAGGCGACGAUGCGUAGCCGACCUGAGAGGGUGAUCGGCCACAUUGGGACUGAGACACGGCCCAGACUCCUACGGGAGGCAGCAGUGGGGAAUAUUGCACAAUGGGGGAAACCCUGAUUGCAGCAACGCCGCGUGAGUGAUGACGGUCUUCGGAUUGUAAAACUCUGUCUUUAGGGACGAUAAUGACGGUACCUAAGGAGGAAGCCACGGCUAACUACGUGCCAGCCGCCGC